GCACAAAUCGUGGGGUUGAGGCCCCGGGCUACACUGCUGUGGACUUCCAGGGGCUGGCUGGAGAGGAAAAGCCGAGGAUCUCACUUCGCGGUCCACACAGCGCGCGGCUCCUCAGCUUCCGGGCGCGCGGGGGCCCCUCCCCCGGCGGCCAGGUGGGCGCUUCCUGCCGUCCCGGGACCCGGAGUGUGGGUCCAGCGCCUUAAGGGCCGCGCGUCCGCUCACUUCCACACUCUCGGAUCCCAGACCCCCGCCCUUGUUCCCGAGGCCCCGCCCUCACGGCUUCACCCCACCCCUCCGCCACCGCCCGCCGCGGCCGGGCUCCCGCGGGCCCCGUGCGGGCGGCGGGCGCCGAGAGCGCGCAGAGGCCGCCGCGCCCCGGCCUCGAACCCGCCGCCCCUGCUCCCGGCGCGGCGCGAGCUGGCCUGGUCCUCGUUGGGCCGCGCGACCCCUGCCGUGUCAGAGGUCGACUGAAUGUUUACAUAUUAAUAAAGGCCAAUAUUUAUCGAGUGCUUAACUACUUUUCAGGCACUGUUCUGAGUGCUUUCCUGCAAGAAAAUGUGACAUCCUCCCUCACCACAACUCUUCCAGGAAGCUGAUCUGAUGGAAUGACCUUGACUCCCAGCCUUGAGGGAUCUGAACUCAUGCUCAUCAUGCUCUUUGCUGGCUGUCUGUCAAUUCCGAAUUUCUCACUUACCAUCACAGUUGGAGAGCAGUAUCCCAAGAGACACCACGAUGGGUCACCUGGCUGUCCUCACAGGGGAGGAGCAAGCCUGCCUCCUCCUGCUGAUCAUCAUCAAGUACCCUUCACACGAUGAUAAUGACUUUCCUUGCCUGCUGGUCUCUUGGCAAAAGGAGCUUGAGGUGACUUGGAGACAGCCAUGCUUUAUGUUUAAGGACCGUCUUGCUAUGUCCCUUGGUAAAAGCAUUGUCUAGAAUCAUGGAUACAGGAAGCACAGGUUUCUUAAGCAGGUUACUGGAAGUGAUGGUCUACUUCCAAACCUUGGCUCCCAGGCCCAUGUAUUCUGCGUACUGGUGACACAGGACCAUAUUAUGUGUAUACAGUGUCUCAAGGAGCAGCUUUCUAGGGUAUCACCUCCAAGCUGGCUUUGGCUUUGGCUCAGUUAUGUCUUUAAGUGGCCAUCCCACUGCUCGAUCAGGCUAGCAGCUCCUGAGUGAUGCAGUAAGUGAGAGGAUAGGUUGGUUGCAUUGUCACAUGUCCACUGUUGCACCUUCUCUGGAAAAAAGUAGCUGAAUGUAAUGUUACCUAGGGUUCGGAGUCAUUGAUCAAACACCAGUCCUCAGAGAGUGGUGUAUCUCAGGUUGUGUGAGUGCCAAAGGGAAGCCUGUGUCUGGAGCACAUAUCAGAAUCAGGAGUCACUGCCCCUAUCAGGGUGGAAGGGGACCAGUGUAAUCUUUUUGCCACAAGUGAGCAGUUGGUGUCCUUGACUGAUUGCCAUGUUGGAGUCGGGCUGUUCGUCUCUCUUACUGACAGAAUGAACGUUCAGCCAUGGCAGCCGCUGGCUCGGCCUUGGUGAUGGCAGUCUUGAGCUCUUUCCUUACCCGCUGCUUGCACCUCUUCCGGUCUAGUGCUAUUGGGCCCAUCCAGACCCUCUUCCUCAGCACCAUGGCUACUCCAUUCAUGAACUUACGGAAUCACCGCUGGGACAGUCGAUGGCAGAUGCUGGCUGAUGUGAACUGUCUGAGGUGUUCUGUGAAUCUUUCUUCCUUGAUGGAUGCCCCCUUGUGGGACUUAACAUUACAAUACAAAGAACUUCACAUUUCACGCCCACUAUCAUCGGGUCCACCACGUCCGUCUUCUGCAGACCUCCUUACCCUGAUUGUUUUGUGGUCUGUUACUGGGUAACAAACCACCCCCAAACUUAGUUAUUACGAUUUAGUUAUAGCUCAUGACUUCGUGGUUUGGCUGGACUCAGCUGGGGGUCUCUUCUGCUGGUGUUGUGUGGGAUCUUUCUCAGUAGCAGUCGGAUGGGUGCCCCAGUGCUCCUCCAUGUGGCCACUCCAUCCAGCAAGAUCGCCAGUUUUGUGGGUCAAAGAGGGAAGACAUGGAAGCUGCUCAGCUUUCUUAAUGCCUGGGCUCCAAAGUCCCACAACAUCACCUCCUUGCAUUCUGUUCAUCAAAGCCAUCACAGAUCAGUGGGACAUAAGCUUUGUCUCAGAUGGGAGUAGCAGUAGGUGCGUGCAGGGAGGGGCAGGGUUACGUAGGGUUGUUCUUGAAGAAAAGCUGCACAGUCCAUCCUCUGGCCACAAUUCACAUUCCUCCCUUCUACAGCAUACACCUCAUUCCUUUUCCCAAGAACACAAGUCUCAUCCCCUAGUGGCAUCCACUUGAACCCAGGAUCUCAUCCUCUAAAUCAGCUGUAGGCACGGGUGGAUCGUCUCGGCUGUUUUCUUGGGUAUAGCCCCUUAGGUAUGGCUUCUCUUGCUCUACAGAACUAAAUCAUAAAGAGAGAGGUUACUCAAUCAGCAUUCGCCCAGUGAGGAUGAGCAGGAACAGGAAAACUGGGACAGUCAUGAGGGGGAAACAGCAGGCACACGGCAGUGAGGAUUCGUAGCGCUUUUGAAAUCCAGCUGCACAUGUUCUCAGCCCUUCCCUGUGGACCAGUCCUGCUCUGUGGGAUUAGUUCCCACGUCUCUUGGCUCUGCCCUGAGUCAUCCUUCCUUUUCUAUAAUAAACGGCCUCUCUUGGAAGCUAAGCAGCUUUCUUAGCCUGCUUACUGCCUGCACACAUUUGACGGCCCGAGACCUCUUUUCAUCAUGAACUAACUCUAUCCCUUUCAGCCCAAAUGGAUUCUGUUCCUUUAAAACAUUGUGCCUUUUGUUUGUAUCAAGUCAUAAUCAGCUCCACUGGGUAAAAGCCAUAGCUGCACUUCUUUCUGAAACAAGCCCAUGAAGUUCCUCUGGGACAACUUCCUUAUGAUUCUUAGAAACCCUGUUGUCUAGGUGAGAGGCUGUAGGAGGCACGCCCUGAGGAUUCUUAGAAGUCUCUUUGUUCGGCUGGAAGGCUUUAUGACGCAUCACUGAAAAUCUUCCUGAGGUUUCAACAGAGUGUCUCACUGUCACACCCUUAAUCUGAACUUGACCCUGAGGCUUAUUUCACUUCCCAUGUUCUGAAUUUGAUCCCCCCAGCCCGCCCCUCUUCUAAGUCCAUUUCUUACCUUGAGAGGCUUUUGUCAUCUGGAGAAACAGCAUUGCUUUCAAACCCAGUAAGUAUCAGUUGCUUUAUAUUGCCUCUAAAUUCGCUGGAAGACUGUACUAUUUCCAUUUUUUUUUCACCCUCAUCUUACUCCCCAUGUACUUGUCAUAGGCAGUUAAAAACAAAAACAAAACAAAAUGAAAAUAGUUGGCGCUUUCAACAGUCUGCCUACAAGCAUCCUUAGCCAGACCCAGGAGUUCCUUACGUAGCUUCUCUAUUUCCCUCCUGACUGCAGGUGACAGUUUCAUGUAUGUGUCUGCAUCCCCUACUGUGACAACAUAAUAACACUCUGGUCCCCUUGCCUUUGGUCUCCAAUAGUGAUUUCAUUGCUGUCUUUCCUGCCUUCACUCUGAUCUCUUGAGGGAACUCCACCUUGGGCCCAAAGCUAAUACUGUGUGUUUUAGUCGAGUUUUGUCAAGACAGAUGCCAUUUCAGGUACCACGUUCUGUUUCAGUUACCUCUUGCUGUGUAAUAAACUGCUACUAAAAUCAGUGGCUGAAAACAGGCCUUUCCUUAUCUCUCUUGACCCCAUGGGCUGACUGGGGCUCAGCUAAGCAAUGCCUUCAUUAUCAUCAGGGUCUCAUGUGGUUGCAUUUGGAUGGGGCUUGGACCAGGUGCCUGGCACUUCAAGGUCCUUCCACGCGGCCUCUUUCUCCAUGUGACACCUCAUCCUUCAGGGCCUCUUCAUGGGGCCUCUUUCUCUAGCAGGGCAGCCUGGAUUUCUUUAAAUGGCACUUCAGGGCUCCAUGAGGGGGAGAGUAGACGAUGCUAGGCUUUCUUAAUACUUGAUGUGCACAGAUGCCUCCACAUGUCACUUCCUCUGCAUCCUGCUGGACCGAGCAGCUGUAGGCUGUGUCCCAGCUUACCGGCCGCACCGGCUGGGGAGGGCAGACGCGUUCCGGAGCUGUAGCGUUGCUGGGCGUCUUCUUUGACGGCUUGUUACCAUGCCAGUCUUCCGACCUUUGACCGUCACAGCCCCAGACUAACCAGUCAAGCCAUUCAAGACUGUCUUAUGUUCAUACUGGGCUACUUUGCUCUGUGUGCAGAGGUGCCACUGGAAACUGCAUGCCCGUUGGAAGGCCUUGUCCUCCCCGCUGUCUCUCAGGGUCACUGUGGGGUUGCUGUCCAUUUCUGGCUUCACCCACGCACUGAACUGACCCAUUGUGACUGUACAAAGCCAGCCUUUUUCCUCCUUUGUCACCUGAUCGUAAGAGGCUUCGUCCCACCGCCACCCACGCCACCCCUGUUUGGCCACAGACGUGGACUGAGGGAGAGCCCUGGGACCACUCUGGGGGGUGAUGUGGGGGUUUACGCCAGCUGCUCCUGGGAUUUGCUUGUCUCCUUUGGCCCCGGUCCCGGAUGGGCCAGUUCCAUCUCACAGUGAAUGGCAGCCGAGCCUGCUCAGCCUUGUUCCCUGUGGGUCUGACAGAAGCCGGCUCAGGAUGGGCAGUUCUCGAAUCAUGAUCACUCAGAUUGGUGGUCAGGCCCUCUGAUCUUGCCUGGGUCCAGGAGCAUGUUCAGAGAUUGGUUGUUUUUUGUUUGUUUGUUUUGUCUUUCUAUUCUUUUUUAAAUUGAAGUAUAGUCAGUUACAGUGUAUCAAUUUCUGGUGGACAGCAUCAUG